GCCAGUGUGGCUCAGUGGAUAGAGCGUCGGCCUGUGGACUGAAGGGUCCCAGGUUCGAUUCCUGGUCAAGGGCA
rnacentral:tRNA from 1 species